rnacentral:rRNA from 1 species
UACGGAGGGUGCGAGCGUUGUCCGGAAUCAUUGGGCGUAAAGCGCGCGUAGGCGGUCAGGUAAGUCCGGUGUGAAAGUCAAAGGCUCAACCUUUGAAUGCCGCUGGAUACUGCUUGACUUGAGUCCGGAAGGGGCGAGUGGAAUUCCUGGUGUAGCGGUGAAAUGCGCAGAUAUCAGGAGGAACACCAAUGGCGAAGGCAGCUCGCUGGAACGGUACUGACGCUGAGGCGCGAAAGCGUGGGGAGCGAACAGG